UUUUGAUUCUUGAUCAUCAAAAGCUUGUUACAGCCAAUAAACAACUCUUGGGCAACCAUCAAGAACAAGACCCAACAACACUCUUGAUCUUCUUGCUUUGAUCUUUAAAGGGAUAGUCAUGGCUUGAAAUGUGAUUGGAGAACAUGACGGAUACAUGAUCAAUGAAGCAAUAGAUGGGAGGUACCCAUUUUGGAUAUGUGGAUAUAAUG